AGGACGAACGCUGGCGGCGUGCCUAAUACAUGCAAGUCGAGCGGACUUGAUGGAGUGCUUGCACUCCUGAUGGUUAGCGGCGGACGGGUGAGUAACACGUAGGCAACCUGCCCGUAAGACUGGGAUAACUACCGGAAACGGUAGCUAAUACCGGAUACGCAAGUUUCUCGCAUGGGGGACUUGGGAAAGGCGGAGCAAUCUGUCACUUACGGAUGGGCCUGCGGCGCAUUAGCUAGUUGGUGGGGUAACGGCUCACCAAGGCGACGAUGCGCAGCCGACCUGAGAGGGUGAACGGCCGCACUGGGACUGAGACACGGCCCAGACUCCUACGGGAGGCAGCAGUAGGGAAUCUUCCGCAAUGGACGAAAGUCUGACGGAGCAACGCCGCGUGAGUGAAGAAGGUUUUCGGAUCGUAAAGCUCUGUUGCCAGGGAAGAACGUCUUCUGGAGUAACUGCCAGGAGAGUGACGGUACCUGAGAAGAAAGCCCCGGCUAACUACGUGCCAGCAGCGGC
rnacentral:rRNA from 1 species